UGGUCAGAGUUUGAUCAUAAUGGUGGUUUUCCCAUGGUAAGGCUCAUCAAUUGCACUCCAGAUAUGUGACCCCUGUGAUUUCCCCAAAUGUGGGAAACUCA
rnacentral:snRNA from 1 species